AAAAUUGCUGGUCUCACAAAGAUCAUUUCAGCUCUAUCCGGGCCCACUGGACAGCUAACACCAGCAGAAUCAUUUUGGACCAAGAGGGUCAGCAAGAUGUUUUAGGAAUUAGUGAUAGGCUGGAUCACAGUUCCUGGAGAGGGGAGAUGAUAACCCUUUUUGAGAUAAAGGAACAGAGUGGAAUCUGAACUGCCUCUAGAGCUGCUUUCCCAGUCUCACAAGGAUUUUCUAAGCCCAGUCACUCUUGAUUUUCCAGAAAUGCUGUCGUAACUCAAAUGACAUUAUACGUUGAUCGAC
rnacentral:lncRNA from 1 species